rnacentral:rRNA from 1 species
CCCUUAGAUGUUCUGGGCUGCACGCGCGCGACAAUGACGUUUGCAACGAGAUUGCGAGGCCGUCAGGUCGAGCUGAUCUUGCAAGCUGCGUCGUGAUAGGGACAGUCGAUUGCAAUUAUUCGACUCGAACGAGGAAUUCCUUGUAAUCGCGCAUCAUCAGUGCGCGCUGAAUACGUCCCUGCCCUUUGUACACACCGCCCGUCGCUCCUACCGAUUGAGUGAUCCGGUGAGCUCUUCGGACUGCGCGGUCUGCAGUUUCUGCGUUCCGUGCGGAAAGUUGCGCAAACCUUAACAUUUAGAGGAAGGAGAAGUCGUAACA